rnacentral:rRNA from 1 species
AUUGAACGCUGGCGGCAGGCUUAACUCAUGCAAGUCGAGCGGGGUGAUGGUGCUUGCACUAUCACUUAGCGGCGGACGGGUGAGUAAUGCUUAGGAAUCUGCCUAUUAGUGGGGGACAACAUCUCGAAAGGGAUGCUAAUACCGCAUACGUCCUACGGGAGAAAGCAGGGGAUCACUUGUGACCUUGCGCUAAUAGAUGAGCCUAAGUCGGAUUAGCUAGUUGGUGGGGUAAAGGCCUACCAAGGCGACGAUCUGUAGCGGGUCCGAGAGGAUGAUCCGCCACACUGGGACUGAGACACGGCCCAGACUCCUACGGGAGGCAGCAGUGGGGAAUAUUGGACAAUUGGGGGAACCCUGAUCCAGCCAUGCCGCGUGUGUGAAGAAGGCCUUAUGGUUGUAAAGCACUUUAAGCGAGGAGGAGGCUCUUUUGGUUAAUACCCAAGAUGAGUGGACGUUACUCGCAGAAUAAGCACCGGCUAACUCUGUGCCAGCAGCCGCCGCCG